rnacentral:lncRNA from 1 species
CGAACUGCUUUCGACAAACAGGUUAUAAAACAGAAUGCACAGCCUUAAAAAAGGAAGGCAAUUCUGACCUGUGCUACAACAUGGAUAAACCUUGAGGACGUUAUGCUAAGUGAGAUUUCCAUACAAAAUGAAAUUUCAGGCCAGGAGCGGUGACUCAUGCCUGUAAUUCCAGCACUUUGGGAGGCUGAAACUGGAGGAUCGCUUGAGCCCAAGAAUUCAAGACCAGCCUGGGCAACAUAGGUCUCAGAGCUCUUUCCCAAGAGUGUUUCACACCUGCUUGUUUGCCCUCAGCCUCGGUGGCGGAGCAGAUCCCUCCAAGUAAACAGCUACAUCCCCACGGUGCCUGUAACAACUCACAAAGCGUGCAGUCCCUAAACCCCACUCCGAGGAAGGCCCUUAAACUAAAGCCACUCCCAUGUAAUUCACCCUUGGUAGAAUCUAAGAUCAGUCUCUGUUGCCAUCAGUUUCACUGUAGGGUAAAUAAUGUUUGAGUUCCUGGAAAUGUCUCCUUAUUUUCUGUUCUUGCAGUUCCACGAAUAAGUAUCCCAAAAUAAGGGCAAAACAUGAGCAUUUUGAAAACAUUUGUUUUCCAACCUGCCGGCUGCAUUUUCCACCAAGGCAUUGGACACGCACUCUGACUGAGCCCGCACAUUCCCCACAGGCCAACUGCCUUUGACGUCAGUGGGAGCUUGGCCUUCUCGAAGACAGAGGCAAAGAUAAUAUUUGCAAAGUCAGCUUUGCAAAAUUCAGCUUUUCUCCGCUUUGCUGCAGAUUGAAUGAUAAGCCUGGGACCAGCAGAGAUAACGUUUCACAGGGGUUUCCCUAUCUGGACCCUCCUACCAAAUUCGUGGAAAUCAGUCUUUAAGAAAACCGGACGAGCCACUCAUAAUGGCCUGGCCACCACACCUGUCUGAUAGCAUCUCAGCUACUCCCUUCAAAGACAACAACGGGGUAGCAAUUUUUUUAAAUGCCUCUGUUACAAUACAGUAUAUUUUACUCACUGCACCAAAAUGUCAGCACAAUGGAAAACAGAUUGUUUACGCUGACCCAAGGAUAAAUAUUUACGAGCCAGCAAAUACAAACCUUGUCAAAGUCGACUGGUCAACAAGCAAUCUUCCAGGAGAGGGACCCAUUUUAUGAAGGGUGUGUACUUUCUGACGUCAGCCAUUUUGCAAGGGGACAUUUGGGGACACUGUUGUCAAAAAGAAUCCUCCGUUUCACGGGCUACAUAGCAGCAACUGCCAUACCAAAUAUCUUUUCUGCCAUUCCUGAAUCUCAGACAGAGACUUCUCUCUCUAGAAAUAAAGACAGUCUAGGGGAAAAAACAGUGGUGGAGAGAUAAAAUCUUUAAAAUGUUGCAUUAGGAGUUCUUCUCUUUUCCUCCCUUUACUUUGUGUGAGGACAGUGACUGCCGCAGCUAGCCGCUCCCUCAGCCACCCUGAAUGUAUAGUUGCCUCCAGUGCCCCAGGGCCAGAAGAGAUUUCUUUACGGGAGAUGCAAUCAGCUCUAACCAAUCAGUAAGAAGGGUUAAUCAGCUGAUCGAUUGGUCCCUGAGCAGCUGGGACCUGGCUCCUCUCUGACUGGCUCUAGCCUGGCCUUGGGGUAAGAGGUUGGGAACUUUUAAUUAUCCACAGCAGCCACUGCUCUGAUUGAAUGGUCAAUGGGUUUACUACUGAGGCGGCGCUGCUUGAAUAAUAAUAGAAAACAAUGUGGAUGCCGGCAAGUGCAAACAGAGGGCCAGAAAAGGCACUUGGAUAUGUAGAAUGCACGUUAAGAUGAGUUAAUUGCCUGGCAGAAACCAAAUUUCAAAGGUCUUGAAAGGUGUUUUAUGGAAGCAGAGUAGAUGCUUGGGGAGGCAUCAGCGAGAUCACAUUUUUUUCUUUUGUGACUCUUGGGUCUGUGACCAUUGCUGGCUACACAAUGUUGCCCCAGGACAAAGGAUAACUUGCUUACCCCAGUGGUUAAAGAAAUGAUCACUGGAGGAAAUCUGUAUUUUGACAUUUGCAGGCACUGUCAGGGUUUAAUUAUUUUUCUUUGUAAACUUCCUUGAAAAAUAAUCAUUCCCUAGUUCCACUAUGUAAGAUGUGCUCAUGGGGUGGGGAGGUUGGGUGGCAUAAUUAAAUCAUGCCAAGAAAUAUAGCGUUAACACCCAAAGGUUUUUAAAAGCUUUGUUCGACUGUGUGUUGUGGAGAUCUUUCUACUUCACCCUCCCUAAGCAGAAUAAAUCAUCAAUCCAAUAACUCACUACAAUAUGCUGAUCUUUCCUUUCCCGGGUUAAACAGCUCACUCGUAGUGGUUCCUUCUUCCCUUGAACAUAAAAACCAACAAGUGCCUCCAAAUAAAAAUGGUAUUUGUGUUCAAGUCCUCUGAGAGUGUCACAGUGGAGGCAAAUGCCCCAAAAGGGCAAACAGCUCCAUGCCCUGGCAGUGGG